AUACGUAGGGGGCGAGCGUUGUCCGGAAUGAUUGGGCGUAAAGGGCGCGUAGGCGGCCCGGUAAGUCUGGAGUGAAAGUCCUGUUUUUAAGAUGGGAAUUGCUUUGGAUACUGUCGGGCUUGAGUGCAGGAGAGGUAAGUGGAAUUCCCAGUGUAGCGGUGAAAUGCGUAGAGAUUGGGAGGAACACCAGUGGCGAAGGCGACUUACUGGACUGUAACUGACGCUGAGGCGCGAAAGUGUGGGGAGCAAACAGGAUUAGAUACCCUGGUAGUCCACACUGUAAACGAUGAAUGCUAGGUGUGGGGGGUAUCGACCCCUUCUGUGCCGCAGUCAACACAAUAAGCAUUCCGCCUGGGGAGUACGGCCGCAAGGUUGAAACUCAAAUGAAUUGGCGGGG
rnacentral:rRNA from 1 species